AUGAGGAGGAAGAAGUUUGAAAGAAAAACAGUUCUUACAACAUUGAAACGCUCCCUCAAUGUCAUGAUUGAUAAAAAAAUAUUGAUUCAUGACCAAUCUCGUUUCUUUCUUCCCGUGGUUGGAGCUCGUUUUUUAGGAGCUCAGCGGUUGAUGGACUGCUACCCCAAGAGUAGUGACAAGAAAACAUUGAAAAGGUGGUUUUUUAUCGAUAAAAGAGUUGGGUGA